ACGCAGUACUUCUAACGAUAGCGGCCGUCCUCGUGUGAAGGAAUGGGUUCUAUGGGACAGUAAAUCUGCUUUCAGGUAAAUAAUAAUGAGACUUUAUUCACAAACACAGUAGCAACCCUGCACAGCGCCGCCUGGGCUGAUACACAGCCCAUCCGGAACACAGGAGCCGGGCUGGUCCAGUGCUCACAGGGCAGCCCCGACCGUGAGAGUCCUGUCCACGAGGGGGUGGGGGCGUGUCCCAGUCUGGGCCGACCCCCCUGUUCCACUGUUCCAGGGUCUCCUCUCUCCUGCGGGUCUCCUUUCCCUCUCCAUCUCGUCACUGGUCUUACUCACCUGAGUCACUCCUGUCGCUGAAGGAGGCUGCUUCUCCUCUCCCGGAAUGGAGUCUCCCCUCACUGGGGCCUCCCUGACACGCCCGUCUCUCUGGCGCUGGGCACGUUCUCCUCAGGGCCCUCUGAAACUGUACUGGUCCUCUUGGAGUCCCCUCUGUCACUUAGUCACCUCCGUCGUCCCGCUCAGCUCUGUCCCUGAAGUCCUCUCCAUGUCCAGGCUCAGCCCCCUCACUGCACUGCUGGUCUGUGUCUCUGGAGACACUGAAGUGAAAGUGAUCUCUGCCUCUGGCGUCUCCCCCGUUUCUGGGGUCAUCUCCGUCUCCGGCGUCUCCCAGUUUCUGGCAUCAUCUUCGUCUCUGGCGUCUCCCCAGUUUCUGGCGUCAUCUCCGUCUCUGGCGUCUCCCAGUUUCUGGCAUCAUCUCCGUCUCCGGCGUCUCCCAGUUUCCGGCGUCAUCUCCGUCUCCGGCGUCUCCCAGUUUCUGGCAUCAUCU
rnacentral:lncRNA from 1 species